AGCUCAGCUGGUUUAGAGCAUCCCGACCCACAGGUCGGGAGGGUCGCAGGUUCGAAUCCAGCA
rnacentral:tRNA from 1 species